GAUGAACGCUGGCGGCGUGCCUAAUACAUGCAAGUCGAGCGAACAGACGAGGAGCUUGCUCCUCUGACGUUAGCGGCGGACGGGUGAGUAACACGUGGAUAACCUACCUAUAAGACUGGGAUAACUUCGGGAAACCGGAGCUACUACCGGAUAACAUUUUGAACCGCAUGGUUCAACAGUGAAAGACGGUCUUGCUGUCACUUAUAGAUGGAUCCGCGCCGCAUUAGCUAGUUGGUAAGGUAACGGCUUACCAAGGCAACGAUGCGUAGCCGACCUGAGAGGGUGAUCGGCCACACUGGAACUGAGACACGGUCCAGACUCCUACGGGAGGCAGCAGUAGGGAAUCUUCCGCAAUGGGCGAAAGCCUGACGGAGCAACGCCGCGUGAGUGAAGAAGGUCUUCGGAUCGUAAAACUCUGUUAUUAGGGAGGAACAAAUGUGUAAGUAACUAUGCACGUCUUGACGGUACCUAAUCAGAAAGCCACGGCUAACUACGUG
rnacentral:rRNA from 1 species